UAGAACGUGGUGUGGUAGGUCACAUGGAGAAUUUCAGAUUCUCAGGGAUAGGUUCAAUUCCUAUAGUUCUAG
rfam:Pan troglodytes isolate Yerkes chimp pedigree #C0471 (Clint) chromosome 2B, whole genome shotgun sequence.